UACGGGGGGGGCAAGCGUUGUUCGGAAUUACUGGGCGUAAAGGGCGCGUAGGCGGCCCACUAAGUCAGACGUGAAAUCCCCCGGCUUAACCUGGGAACUGCGUCUGAUACUGGAGGGCUUGAGUAUGGGAGAGGGAUGUAGAAUUCCAGGUGUAGCGGUGAAAUGCGUAGAUAUCUGGAGGAAUACCGGUGGCGAAGGCGGCAUCCUGGACCAUUACUGACGCUGAGGCGCGAAAGCAUGGGGAGCAAACAGG
rnacentral:rRNA from 1 species